AUAUGAAAGUAAAGGACUAUAUAUAUAUAUAUGGGGAUCAAUUAAAUUUGGAACGUUGAUUGCUACCAUUUUCUUCGCCAGUUGAAUGAUGUACAUAAGUGUAACGCCCGUGAACCAGAAAAUCGGUUAGGAUUUAUGUUUAAAUCGUUCGGUUUAAUUGGUUAGAUUAAUGGAAACCCUAGAGUGUGUCUAUAAAAGAAGGAAACUCGAAAUUAGAGCUUUGGUUAGCCACUUUUUGUUUUGUAAAGAAGAAUAAGAGAGAGAAGGAAAAAGACCAAAAUCGUUAGAGUUUGGGAGGAAACAGUUUCGACAUAUCAAAUCAUUUUCGAAGGUAAUGAAAUUUGGUAAAGUUAUUCCCAAGUCUUUCAUCGUCAUUCUCCAUUUUACAGAAGUGGAUUUUGAUUUAAACUCGUUGAGUUAUUCACAGUUUUGUAAGACACGUUUUCUCAGAUGCAAGUUAAAACUAGCGGGGAUUAUAACUGAGAUCGUGGUCUUGUCUGGUUUCCGAUCGGCACGAGAUUUUGUGGAAGGCUUGAUGACGUCUAAGGCUAGCGUUUCACCGGAUAGUUAACGGUUAGUUUUUAUUUUAGGGUUUUGUCUUUGAGACUGUUUGUCUUUGAUUUUUAUGUCCAGUUUGCUUCAAGAUUGUUUUUGGUUGUGUGACUUGUUGUAGGAUGUUUCUGGACUGUUUCAGACGCAAGGAGAGUUUCUCCUGGUUAUAAUUGUUGUUAGAAUCAGCUUGUUAAGGUGAGUGCGUGAACAUAAGCUUAUCUAAGCGAUUGGUUUGUAUGACUAGUUUUAUGUAAUGAUAUAUAGAUGUGGUGAAUGUGUUUUUGGGUGAACAUAACAAAAAUAACAAACCAGUCAUUUAACAGUUCACCCAAAAACACAUUCACCACACCUACAUAUCAUCACACAAAACAAGUCAUACAAACCAAUCGCUCAGAUAAGCCCAUGGUCACACACUCAUCUUAACAAGCUGAUUCUAACAACAAUUAUAACCAGCAUAGACUCUCCUUGCGUCUGAACAGUCCAGAAACAUCCUACAACAAGUCACACAACCAAAAACAAUCUUGAAGUAAACUGGACAUAAAAAUCAAAAACAAACAGUCUCGAAGAUGAAACUCUAAAAUAAAAACCGACUGUUAACUAUCAAAUCCCUCCGGUGAAAAGCUAGCCUUAGACGUCAAAAAGCUUUCCACAAAAUCUAGUGCCAAUCAGAAACCAGACAAGACCACGAUCUCAGUUACAAUUCCCGCUGGUCCUAACUCGCGUCUGAAAAAACGUGUUUUACGAAACUGCAAAUAACUCAACGAGUUUAAAUCCAAAUUCACUUUUGUAAAAUGGAGAAUGACGAUGAAAGACGUGGAAAUAACUAUACUAAAUUUCGUUACCUUUGAAAACGAUUUGAUAUGUUAAAACUGUUUCCUACCAAACUCUAACGAUUCUGUCCUUUUUCUUCUCUUUAAGUGGCUAACCAAAGCCCUAAUUCCUUCUUUUAUAGGCAUAUUUUAGGGUUUCUAUUAACUCAACCGAUUAAACCAGACAAUUUAAAUAUAAAUCCUAACCGAUUUUAUGGUUCACGGGCGAGGUUAAGUUGUUUUAUUUUUUUUAUUAUGUGUUUGUCUUUGUCUAGUUUGUUUUCAUGGGCUAUAAUUUUCUGCAAAAAAUGUCGAUUUUUGUUUUAUGUAACUUAUGUUGAAGAGGGGAAAAUUCCAAAUAAGUACUUCAGUGUGGAGUAA
rnacentral:sRNA from 1 species